rnacentral:rRNA from 1 species
CUUCCGCCGGCGACCGGCGCACGGGUGAGUAACACGUAUGCAACCUGCCCCUGUCAGGGGGACAACCCGCCGAAAGGCGGGCUAAACCCGCGUACAUGCCACCGGGGCAUCCCGGAGGCAGGAAAGGCUUCGGCCGGACAGGGAUGGGCAUGCGGCGCAUUAGGCAGUAGGCGGGGUAACGGCCCACCUAACCGACGAUGCGUAGGGGUCCUGAGAGGAAGGUCCCCCACACUGGUACUGAGACACGGACCAGACUCCUACGGAAGGCAGCAG